CAGCAACAAUGAAAUGGAAAAUUAUUUUCAAAAUUCAAAUUAAUCAAAGCGAUGAUAGUGAAGAGGAUGAUAAGGGCAUUGAUAUAAUCAAUAAAGAUGAAUGGCUUGAAAUCUUGGCAGUACUAUGUUUGGUUCUUGCUCAUGUGAACUUUUUGAUUGCUGUGCCAGGUCGAAGAAGAAGAGGUAGACGAGUUUAACUCCCUGCUAAACGUACUGUAAAACCACUGUUACCUUAUUGGUCGAUCUCCUGCAGCGGAUUUUUGUUUUCCUAGAACUGCUCACUGUUAAGAAAAAAGAUUCACGAUGUCUAAAGCGACGUAUAUAAUAAGAAACAUUUUAUAAAAAGGUUAAAGUGCGUGUAAUCAAUGUAAUGUUUCAAUAUGAUGUUACUUAAAGUA